UUGCUCGCUCCAGCGCCAUCCAUUUUCGGGGCCGGUCGAUUCGGCAGGUAAGUUGUUACACACUCCUGAGCGAAUUUCCGACUUCCAAUAACCACCAUCAGU